GGCAGCAAUCUGGCUGACAUCUGUCCCUCCUUUGACUACCCAUCGUUAGUUCUAACUGAUCUGGCAAGCUGAAUGGGUGCCCUCUUUCCCCUUUGUGUUCCAUGGACAUUAUCAAUGAAAAUGCAUUUUCAGUGGAGGAGCAUAACUUUCCUGUUAGAGGACAAUUCUUUGGUUAAGAGUGUAUAAACAGCUGCUUACCUUAACCAGAACAUUCAAACACACUCAAAGUUUAUAUUUUAGAGAAUGUUGUCUCAAAGACAGACUGAUUUGUCUGUCUGUCUAU
rnacentral:snRNA from 1 species